CCCUCCACAAGCGAUCUUCUUGGCUAAAACGCGGGCACGCAAACCACCAGCGGGGCCCCUAGAAGGUGCGUGCCCUGGUGCAAUUGCACCCCCUGCUCCCCCGCUAGUUCCAUCACUGAAAGCCACUGAUUAAAUAAAAUAAAUAAGUAAUCCAAGAAAGGCAGAAAUGCUGCUCUUCAACACCUUCAUAUCAAGCAGCACUGAGGGUGACAGCUCUUGCAUUUUCCUUUUUGCAGGGCAUGCUGUGAAAUGUCCAUCUUUUUGGAGUUUGGUUAAUAUGCCAUUAUCUUCUAUGUCAAAUAACAAACCGCAAAAAGUAAGACCUGGCGGCAUCCAAUUAGCUGAGGGCUCCUCCAGAGGUGAAAGGUGGCUGUUAAAGGCAGAAGCAAGAGCUGAGACCAGGGAACCUAGCACUGGUUCUGGAUUUAGGGUGCUGAACGUGGCAAUUCACAACUUCUGAUGGCUAAAAACCAGACACACACCUCAUUGCUCAUACCCAGAGGUAUUAUCAAGGUGUGUGACAAGAUGAAUGAAAGACAAAGAGAACAAAAAUUGUACUACAACAUGCAAUCCAAAGUACUACCUGUUUUACAAGUAUGAAAUACUUUAAGGAUGCAAAGAGGACACACUUGGCAACUGGCAACAGUUGUGCAAAAGCAUAAUCAACCGAGAUCUUAUGUUGUUUAUACGCCUGAUGGAGAAUACAGGAGAAACAGAAAAAACCUGAGAAAAACACAGGAGAAUUUACUGCCACCUUCUGAUGAUGCAGAAACUGUGACAAACAAUGACCAAUGCAUGGACAGAACUGAGACAGUUCAAGGUUUACAAUCAUCUGACACUAUGCAACCUGAAAGCAAUGAAGCCAGUAAUCAUUCUGAUGUGUUUCUACCUCAGAAAAGUUCUCAAUCCUACAAAGCCAGAUCAGGGAGACAGAUCAAACUUCUCAUAAGAUACAGAGAGUAAUAAAGUGUACUUAUGCAUGAUAUGUUGAUGCAGUAAAUUGAUUUAUUUUUAUUAUAAAAUUUUCAAUGUUGAAUUAAGAAAAGCUGAAAUGUGAAGUAACAUGCAUGUCUUAAAUUUACUAUGUUUGCUGCAUACAUUAUUGAACAAUAGUGGAUUAUAUAUCUAUGCUGUGAAGAAUGUGUAUAAUACAUAUCAUUUGUUAAGAAGGGGGAUGUAGUAUAUCGGACUGUGUAUAAUACAUAUCAUUUGUUAAGAAGGGGGAUGUAGUAUAUCGGACUAUGUCAGCAUCUGUAGCAGCAGCACUGGACUAGCUAGUGAUGUAAUAGAGUAGUAUCUGGACAUACCCACAUAGGAGCGUACAUGUUAAGAGAAGCUCUGUAAUAAAAUUAAUUUCUGCUCA